rnacentral:rRNA from 1 species
UGGGGAAUAUUGCACAAUGGGCGAAAGCCUGAUGCAGCGACGCCGCGUGCGGGAUGAAGGCCUUCGGGUUGUAAACCGCUUUUGAUUGGGAGCAAGCGAGAGUGAGUGUACCUUUCGAAUAAGCACCGGCUAACUACGUGCCAGCAGCCGCGGUAAUACGUAGGGUGCAAGCGUUAUCCGGAAUUAUUGGGCGUAAAGAGCUCGUAGGCGGUUUGUCGCGUCUGGUGUGAAAGUCCAUCGCUUAACGGUGGAUCUGCGCCGGGUACGGGCAGGCUAGAGUGCAACAGGGGAGACUGGAAUUCCCGGUGUAACGGUGGAAUGUGUAGAUAUCGGGAAGAACACCAAUGGCGAAGGCAGGUCUCUGGGUCGUCACUGACGCUGAGGAGCGAAAGCGUGGGGAGCGAACAGGAUUAGAUACCCUGGUAGUCCACGCCGUAAACGGUGGAUGCUGGAUGUGGGGCCCAUUCCACGGGUUCCGUGUCGGAGCUAACGCGUUAAGCAUCCCGCCUGGGGAGUACGGCC